rnacentral:pre_miRNA from 1 species
GCCCUAUGGGCCUGAUCCAGAGCCCCCUAAAAUAAAUGGGAAUCUUUCCACUGACUUUAAUGGGCUUUGGAUCAGGCACCAUUUGC